CCUACGGGAGGCAGCAGUAGGGAAUAUUGCUCAAUGGGGGAAACCCUGAAGCAGCAACGCCGCGUGGAGGAUGAAGGUUUUCGGAUUGUAAACUCCUUUUGUUAGAGAAGAUAAUGACGGUAUCUAACGAAUAAGCACCGGCUAACUCCGUGCCAGCAGCCGCGGUAAUACGGAGGGUGCAAGCGUUACUCGGAAUCACUGGGCGUAAAGAGAGCGUAGGCGGGAUAGCAAGUCAGAUGUGAAAUCCUAUGGCUAAACCAUGGAACUGCAUUUAAAACUGUUAUUCUGGAGUGUGGGAGAGGUAGGUGGAAUUCUUGGUGAGGGGGUAAAAUCGGAGGAAAUAAGGAGGAAAACACAU
rnacentral:rRNA from 1 species